GACGAACGCUGGCGGUGUGCUUAACACAUGCAAGUCGAACGGUAAGGCCCUUUCGGGGGUACACGAGUGGCGAACGGGUGAGUAACACGUGAGUAACCUGCCCUCAUCUCUGGGAUAACAGUCGGAAACGGUUGCUAAUACUGGAUAUGAGCUCGCAAGGCAUCUUGUGGGUUGGAAAGAUUUUUUUGGUUGGGGAUGGACUCGCGGCCUAUCAGCUUGUUGGUGAGGUAGUGGAUCACCAAGGCUUCGACGGGUAGCCGGCCUGAGAGGGCGACCGGCCACAUUGGGACUGAGAUACGGCCCAAACUCCUACGGGAGGCAGCAGUGGGGAAUAUUGCACAAUGGACGGAAGUCUGAUGCAGCAACGCCGCGUGCGGGAUGACGGCCUUCGGGUUGUAAACCGCUUUCAAUUGUGACGAAGCUUUUUGUGACGGUAGCAGUAGAAGAAGCACCGGCUAACUACGUG
rnacentral:rRNA from 1 species